rnacentral:rRNA from 1 species
GGGGGAUAUUGCACAAUGGGGGAAACCCUGAUGCAGCGACGCCGCGUGGAGGAAGAAGGUUUUCGGAUUGUAAACUCCUGUCGUUAGGGACGAUAAUGACGGUACCUAACAAGAAAGCACCGGCUAACUACGUGCCAGCAGCCGCGGUAAAACGUAGGGUGCAAGCGUUGUCCGGAAUUACUGGGUGUAAAGGGCGCGUAGGCGGCUCGGUAAGUCUGGAGUGAAAGUCCUGCUUUUAAGGUGGGAAUUGCUUUGGAUACUGUCGGGCUUGAGUGCAGGAGAGGUUAGUGGAAUUCCCAGUGUAGCGGUGAAAUGCGUAGAGAUUGGGAGGAACACCAGUGGCGAAGGCGACUAACUGGACUGUAACUGACGCUGAGGCGCGAAAGUGUGGGGAGCAAACAGGAUUAGAUACCCUGGUAGUCCACACUGUAAACGAUGAAUGCUAGGUGUAGGGGGUAUCGACCCCUUCUGUGCCGCAGUCAACACAAUAAGCAUUCCGCCUGGGGAGUACGGCCGCAAGGUUGAAACUCAAAGGAAUUGACGGGGGCCCGCACAAGCAGCGGAGCAUGUGGUUUAAUUCGACGCAACGCGAAGAACCUUACCAGGUCUUGACAUCCACUUAAACUUACAGAGAUGUAAGGUGUGCUUGCACAAAGUGAGACAGGUGGUGCAUGGUUGUCGUCAGCUCGUGUCGUGAGAUGUUGGGUUAAGUCCCGCAACGAGCGCAACCCUUAUCUUCAGUUACUAACGCGUAAAGGUGAGGACUCUGAAGAGACUGCCGGGGACAACUCGGAGGAAGGUGGGGACGACGUCAAAUCAUCAUGCCCCUUAUGACCUGGGCUACACACGUGCUACAAUGGCCACGACAGAGAGAAGCGAAAUCGUAAGGUAGAGCGGAACUCAAAAAAGUGGUCCCAGUUCGGAUUGUGGGCUGCAACCCGCCCACAUGAAGUCGGAGUUGCUAGUAAUCGCGGAUCAGCAUGCCGCGGUGAAUACGUUCCCG